CUUGACUCAUCUUCUUCUUCUUUUUCUUCUUUAAUCUAAAUGCUUAUUCACUCACAUUCACAUUCACAUUCACAUUCACAUUCACAUUCACAUUCACAUUCACAUUCACAUCACAAAAUGCACCCUAGUGUUAGUGUAGAUCGUUUUUCUACUGUGAUAUUUGAAAUUGAAUGAUGAUGCUAUGCGCUUGAUUUUAGAACUAGUGUCAAAACUAUUUCAACAUGAUAAUCAUGACAAAUGCACUUAGGCCGACAUUUUUU
rnacentral:lncRNA from 1 species